rnacentral:ncRNA from 1 species
UACAAUAUAUAGUGUUACGGUCUCCACAUGUUACAUCAUGUGGGGCUAAGAGGGAAGCCGGUGUGAAUCCGGAGCUGCCCCCGCAACUGUCAGCGGCGAGCCGCCGUCCAGCGAUAUCACUGAUGCCGCAAGGUGUUGGGAAGAUUGGACGGAAGCUGUGACCCGUGAGCCAGGAGACCUGCCGUAGCAACGUGAAACGUC